rnacentral:lncRNA from 1 species
GCCUAACCUAGGUGGAUGGAUGGAUGAACAGACACAUGGAUUAGUGGGUGAGAGCGCUGCCCUAUUUGCACCAGGCCUUAGGCUGGGGACCCGCUACUAAGUGGCUGGCCAGCAGGAGCCAUGAUCAUGCCGUGCUUUCUAACACAGGCCCUGCAGGAGGGCCUCCCAUCCGCAGCAGACUGGAGCUCGCUGGCCCCGGGGACGUGGGCCUGGGCCGCUAGGCGGCUGGGCGACUGCGCUCCCUCACACUCCCUCACCGAGCAGCCAGCAGCCAGCGCAGCGGCAUGACGGAUGUGCCCGCCGCCGCGGGGAGCCCAGGGUAGAGCAGUUGCCUGGAAACAGACUGCUCCCGGCCCACACUCAGACCUUUGUCACCGUCUCAAGGACCUUUUUUUCCUCCUCCUCCUUUUUUGCUGGAGCCAGACCCGCGUGCAGAGUCAGCUCGUUCUGCACCAGGCACCUCCGAGCCUGUUGUCCCCAGAGGUGCCAGGAGGAGUGGAGGAGGCUGAGCA